UACAGACGGUCCAAACGUUAUUCGGAAUUACUGGGCUUAAAGAGUUCGUAGGCGGCGCAGAAAGUAGGGUGUGAAAGCCCUCGGCUCAACCGAGGAAUUGCGCUCUAAACUACUGUGCUUGAGGGACCUAGAGGUGAGCGGAACUGAUGGUGGAGCGGUGAAAUGCGUUGAUAUCAUCAGGAACACCGGAGGCGAAGGCGGCUCACUGGGGGUCUUCUGACGCUGAGGAACGAAAGCCAGGGGAGCGAACGGG
rnacentral:rRNA from 1 species